AGCGAACGCUGGCGGCAGGCUUAACACAUGCAAGUCGAGCGGGCACUUCGGUGUCAGCGGCAGACGGGUGAGUAACACGUGGGAACGUACCCUUCGGUUCGGAAUAACGCUGGGAAACUAGCGCUAAUACCGGAUACGCCCUUUUGGGGAAAGGGUUACUGCCGAAGGAUCGGCCCGGGUCUGAUUCGCUAGUUGGUGGGGUAAUGGCCUACCAAGGCGACGAUCAGUAGCUGGUCUGAGAGGAUGAUCAGCCCCACUGGGACUGAGACACGGCCCAGACUGCUACGGGAGGCAGCAGUGGGGAAUAUUGGACAAUGGGCGCAAGCCUGAUCCAGCCAUGCCGCGUGAGUGAUGAAGGCCUUAGGGUUGUAAAGCUCUUUUGUCCGGGACGAUAAUGACGGUACCGGAAGAAUAAGCCCCGGCUAACUUCGUG
rnacentral:rRNA from 1 species